UUGUGAACUUAUUUCAGCUUUUGGUCAAAUAAUUUGAAAUCUACAACUGUUAUUUCUAAAAGAAUAAUAGAUGACGUUAUAAAGAAUUUAAUCUAGAAUUAGAAAUUGUUAUGAAAGAGUGUAAAGUUACAAGUACAAUAUUUUUUUAAUAUUGGUAUCUAUUCACUGAAUCAUUAAUUAGAUAUGAUUAUGAAAACUUUGUUUAACUAAUGAGUACGUAACAAGCACAGUAUGACAUGCAUAUUUUCUCAGUUCUCUACUAAUUAAUUGGAGAAGAUGAAAGCACAAGUUUGGUUUACCAUGAAAAAGUAGUAAACUAGCACCCUACUUUUUCAUCAUGAAUUAACUUGAUCAGCUUUUGACUUAUAGCUUAUGCAACCCACGUGGAGGGUAUAAUUUGAAUAAUUAACCACCCACUUUCCAAACUUUUUAUUAGGAGUGGAAUUUUCGACACGACAUGAUACGAAAACACGACUCAAACUGUAUGCGAAGUUUAGCAGGUUUUAGGUUGACAUUUAUGACAUGAACCCUUAUAUGACACACCCAACCCCCCACCCCACCCCCCCAACCCCCACCCCCCCAACCCCCCACCCCCCCCACCCCCACCCAACCCCCCCCCCCCCCCCCCCCCCCCCCCCCCCCCCCCCCACCCCCCCCCACCCCCCACCCCCCGCCCCCCACCUCCUCCCCACCCCCCCCCCCCCCCCCCCGCCCCCCCCCCCACCACUACCCGAUAACUCUCAUUAGACUCGCGUAACAUGUUUAAUGAAUGAAUACUUAUACAUUUUAGUAAUAUUUUCAAUACGGGGUGUCAUUACAUGGUUAAAUCCUUAAUAUGACUCAUCCAACUUAAUAAAAAAUUAUGUAUAAAUAUUAUUUUUAAUCAAUAUUCAAUACAUAUACACAUUUUUAUUUUUCAUUUAAGGAUACAUUAUUCAUUUUAUUCAUUGAUUAUGAGUAAAUCAUAUAUAAACAUAAUAUUAUAAAAUGUAGUUUGACUUUUGAAAAAAAAUAUAUAAUAAAUUCAAUAAUUGAUAUUGUUUUUCCAAAUAAUUUUGUUCAAUUGAGAUUUAGUUGAUGAAAUUUAACUUAUAUUAAAAAAAAUAAUUUAUUUAGUUUAUAUUUUUUUAAUUAAGAGUAAAUUUUUUUAGCCUGAUUCGUUAACAUAACACUAAACGGAUACGAAUCAAAACUGACACAACUCGAUAAUACAAACAAAUAAUUGAAUUGAAUUAGUGUUAGUGUUAGAUUUUUUUUAACACGACACAAAUACGACAUGAUACAAUGGCCACCUCUGGUGGACAUGGAGUCUCCAUUCGUUUCAUCAUGAAUAGGUUUGAAGUAAGGGUGGUGUUCAUGCGACGAUGGCUUUUGUUAGGGCCACGACAAUCAAGUAUAAAUUGUAUAGUAUGACAGUUUUGCCCUUUCAUCCCUUCUGGUCGUUAAUGAUAGAUGAUUGCUUUCUCACACUUGAAAACAACAAAAGCUAAGAAACUAUAACCUACAAACACCUCCCCUUUUCUCUGCCCGAGAUUUUGAACGUCAUAAUGACCAUUGAUUUUGACUUUGGACGAGGGAUUGUAACUUUAUGGUAUGUUUGGCUGGCGGAUUUGGAGGGGAUAACUUUUUUUCCCUGCGUUUGGCUGGCGGAUAUGGAGACGGAUAAUUUAUGCCCUCGAUAAUUAUGCCCCUAGGCAGGUGGAUAAUACGGAUAAUUUUUGAGUGGCCUAAUCCUAACUAAAUUAUCCGGUGAUUCAGUAGGUGUUUGGUAUAAAAAAAUAUAUAUAUAAUAGAACCAAAUGUAUAAUUUUUUUUUAAUAUUCUAUAUAUAUCAAAUAACAUACUCUCUUUUUCUCUCUCCCAUAUUUUCUGUUUUUUUUGCUUUCUCUAUAUAUUUUUGUCUUCUUAUCCCAACCUUAUCCACCAAUUCCUAAAAAGUGAUCCAACAAGUUAAAGGUAUCCCCCAAAAGUUAUCCCCUCUAAAUUUAUCCUCCCUCUAAAACUUAUCCUCCUUCCUAUCCGCCAGCCAAACGAGCCCUUAGGACUGGCAUUGUCCGCACCCAUAAGCUCACCACAGGCUUCAUUUCAAUAUGGAUUGAAUCUACGGAUGUUUUACUUUCUUGUGUGGAGAGAUUGUUUGUGAAAAAAACGGGACUGAUUAGAGAAUAACUAUAUAAUUUCAUUAUAUUUAUCGUGAAAAAAUAUAGACGACGAGUAGGAUUUCACAUAUAGUUCAUUUUUUGAAGAUAUAUUAAUAGAUAGAAUGAAAUUAUAUGUCUAGAGUAUUGGAUUCGUCUAGUGAUUUCAUGAAUGAUCAUCUACAUAAAAAAAAGUCUUAAAAUAUCAACGAUAAGAUUAUCAAAGUACCCGCAGACACAGUCUAGACCCUUUAAAAGACAAUCUUAGACGUUCUAAUUUUGUACAGUAUUAAAGUAAAUAAAACUUGCCAUCAAAAAUUAGGAGGAUGGAAAUUUAGUAGUAAUUCAAUUAAGUAUUGGUU
rnacentral:lncRNA from 1 species